rnacentral:rRNA from 1 species
CCCUUAGAUGUCCUGGGCCGCACGCGCGCUACACUGAUGCGUUCAACAAGUUUCCUUGGCCGAGAGGCCUGGGCAAUCUUCUUAAUAUGUAUCGUGAUAGGGAUAGAUUAUUGCAAUUAUUAAUCUUGAACGAGGAAUUCCUAGUAAACGCAGAUCAUCAAUCUGCAUUGAUUACGUCCCUGCCCUUUGUACACACCGCCCGUCGCACCUACCGAUUGGAUGUUCCGGUGAAGCCUCGGGAUGAGGACUGGUGCCUUUAUUGGCAUGAGUUGUUCAGAACUUGUCUAAACCUUAUCAUCUAGAGGAAGGUGAAGUCGUAACA